GGGCCGUAACUAGGGUUCGAAUUCAGGGGAGGCAGGGUUUGGGGGCCGCCAAUGGAGGUCCCCAAGAGAGAGGGGGUUGGGGGGCGACCCCCCCUCCAUUUUUUUUCUCCAAGUAAAAUGGCUAAAAAUGACCCGUUUUCCUUCGAUUUCCUUACUCUAAAAAACAUCAGUAUUACUUGAACCUGGAAACAAUUUUUAUGCAAAAAAAACUGAGAUUGCUGUUCGGUGUAAGCCAAGGCUCCGUCUUGAAGGCCGUACUUUGACCUAUAAUUAUUAACAUUAAAUACAUUGUGACCGCGGAUUUUGUUCUCAAUAUGGCUAAAAAUCACCCGUUUUCCUUUGAUUUCCUUACUUUAAAAAACAUCAGUAAUUGCUGG
rnacentral:lncRNA from 1 species